AGGGAUAUUGCUCAAUGGGCGAAAGCCUGAAGCAGCAACGCCGCGUGGAGGAUGAAGGUUUUCGGAUCGUAAACUCCUUUUGGUGAGGACGAGGAAGGACGGUACUCACCGAAUAAGUCACGGCUAACUACGUGCCAGCAGCCGCGGUAAAACGUAGGUGGCGAGCGUUAUCCGGAUUUACUGGGCGUAAAGCGUGUGCAGGUGGGUUCACAAGUGGUGUAUGAAAUCUCUCAGCUUAACUGAGAGCGGUUAUGCCAGACUGUGAGCCUAGAGUACGAGAGAGGGACGUGGAAUUCCGGGUGUAGUGGUGAAAUGCGUAGAGAUCCGGAGGAACCCCAGAGGCGAAGGCGGCGUCCUGGCUCGAUACUGACACUCAGACACGACAGCAUGGGGAGCGAAC
rnacentral:rRNA from 1 species